GAGUGUGGCCAGCAGGUUGAGGCAGGUUAUUGUACCCUUCUACUCUGCCUUGGUGAGGCUGCAUCUGCAGUACUGUGUCCAGUUUUGAGCUCCCCAGUUCAAUAAUGACAAGGAAUUACUGGAGAGGGUCCAGCAGAGGGUUAUGAAGAUGAUUACGGGCCUGUAGCAACUCUUUCAGGAGGAACAACUGGGAGGGUUGGGCUUGUUCAGGCUGGAAAAGAGACAACUGAGAGGGGAUCUUAUUAAUGCAUACAAAUAUCUUAAUGCCAGGUGUCAACAGGAUGGAGCCAGACUCUUUUCAAUGGUGCCCAGCAACAGGACAAGGAUCAACAAGCACAGACUGAAACACUGGAAAUUCCAUUUGAAUAUAAGCCUCACCAUUCUUUUGUAUCUGAGCACUUCACAAAUAAGAAAGAAAGUUUUAUAGGCUAUGUCCAGACUCCUCUGAAACAACAGCAAGAAGAGUAGCUGUGAGCCAGGUGAUUUCUACCUCUGACAAGCCUACUGUCCAAACUGCUGCCACGCCAGCAGUCUGCAGACCUGUCUGGACAUCUUGGUGGUAAUAUGAAGCCAUCAGAAGAUCCAUUGGAAUGGAUUUGGCCACUGGUUCUUCACAACAUUCACUUCACUGCAACCUCAAUGGAUGAGACUGCAAGAGUAGCUGCAGACAAGAUGAGACAGUGGCAAACUGACUGGACUAGACUAUUUACAAUUAGCAGCUUUUACCAAGACUGUCCCUCUCUUUGGAUCUGGGCCAAAUUUGAAAAGCACCUGCUCUCCAGUACAACAUGGGGUUUUUUUAAACCCUAUAAAAUCUCUAUUGAUCUUAGUCAAUUAUUAAUAUCAUUCCUUUCUGUAUGAAAGAUGUUAGUUAUCUGAGAUAUGCUCUCCUUGAAUUAUAAAAAUGUACGUAAUUUAGCAGCAGAGCAAUAAA